rfam:Rattus norvegicus chromosome 15, whole genome shotgun sequence.
CACCAGGCUCUAUUCAGAGCCAUUUGCUAACUCAUUUAAUAUGCAU